rnacentral:lncRNA from 1 species
CAGGUUUCUAUGAGUUCACAGAGAAAGGUGCCACUUGACGGGGCCUUUUGUUAUGGUUUCUGUGCUGGUCUCUUACCAAAGGCCUGCUUCUCUGCCGCCCAUCCCUAAAGGCCCCACCUUAGGGGACUGUCUACUUCUCAGCUUCAGGAGGAAUGUUCCAAAGUAUUCUCAGGUAGUUGAGAAGCAGAGAAGGAGUGAGGAGGAGGAAGGAGCCUGGUCUGAAAUUGGAUGGGGACCCUUAAUGGCAAACUUGGGUGCAUGCAUAGUAUUUUGGAAGACGGAAUAAUGCUGGUAAGCAAAUGAUGUCUGUGACCCUCACCCGCUUGAGGGUAAUUCCAUGGGCUGUGGGGGAUCAUCUUAUGAGUGCUCUAAGUACACCACUCUCCAGUGCAGACAGACAGACACAGGAACAGCUUCUCUCUGUGUGCUAACAUCACUCUCCUACCUAUAUCAGCAGGAUUCCAAGGCAGUGGCUGGCCGAGGGCCCACGAUUUCUCUAUCCAGUUCCAGCCAUAGGCAGCCUGCACAUGCCCAGGACCUUCUUCGUGCCCUUCCAGAAACUAACCCUGCAUGUCUCCUGCACUGCCUCCCUUUUCUCAGAAGCUGGUCUUGUUGUUCUGUAGUCCUUGGAGAUUACUGCCUCAUUCUCGGUGGCUCAAAGAGAGAAAAAUGGAGCAUGAUUUGGGGGUUAUGGAAACGAUAAAACAGCGGGCUGGAGGUGAGAGCCACUAAAAAUGUAAUCAUUUGAUCACAGACAUGGAUGCUGCUGUAAUGAAAACCUACAAGGAUAGUGUCAUCAUUUGGAAUCUGUGAGAGGUUGGUUCAGGAUCCCUAUAGAUACCUACAUACUUCAUCCUAUAAGCUCUCCAGGGUGAGUUAUCACCUAGAACAAUGUACAUCUUAGAGCAGUAAUUGCCACAGUGCAUGGUUCAGGAACAGAAAUGAACAUGUUUGGCAUAGAUAGAAAUUUAUACACCAGAUACUUUUGACCCAAG